rnacentral:rRNA from 1 species
UACGUAGGGGGCAAGCGUUGUCCGGAAUCAUUGGGCGUAAAGCGCGUGUAGGCGGUCCGGUAAGUCCGCUGUGAAAGUCGGGGGCUCAACCCUCGGAUGCCGGUGGAUACUGUCGGGCUUGAGUACGGAAGAGGCGAGUGGAAUUCCUGGUGUAGCGGUGAAAUGCGCAGAUAUCAGGAGGAACACCAAUUGCGAAGUCAGCUCGCUGGGACGUUACUGACGCUGAGACGCGAAAGCGUGGGGAGCAAACAGG